GGCGGUUCUUAGGUGACACACCCCAGAAUCAGGUUCCCUCCUUUCUGGUUCCAGGUGCAUCACUCGAGAACUCUGCA
rfam:Myotis lucifugus cont2.1644, whole genome shotgun sequence.